GACGGAGGGGGCAAGCGUUGUUCGGAAUUAUUGGGCGUAAAGGGCUCGUAGGCGGAUCCGCCAGUUUGACGUGAAAUCUCCACCGCUCACCGGGGAGGGCCGUUGAAUACUACGGAUCUGGAGUUCGGCAGAGGACCAUGGAAUUUCGGGUGUAGCGGUGGAAUGCGUAGAGUAUCCGAAAGAACGACCGGUGGCGAAGGCGGUGGUCUGG
rnacentral:rRNA from 1 species